UGUCUAUGCGCACCAAAAUAAUUUCUGGUGACAUAAUAACAACUGGUAUCUCUCUCGAGUAGAUGGUUCCUGCUCAGGAUUAAAAAAGAAAAAAAAAAGGAAAACAAAAACAGAUCGAGAAAUGAACAAAAAUUGAUUCUGUCAAUUAAGAAAAAUAAUUGUUGAAUAAAUAAAGUUAAACAGAGUUGUUGCCUCGAUUUUCUUAAAGGAUGUUAGAAUCCUAGUCUUAGAUCUGCAUUAUUUCCUUUUCCGUUAAGGAUUAGUUAUUAAGUUAUUAUGUUAUUAGGAAUUAUUAUUUUCGUAGGAUCUCUUUGGCUUAUAUAAGGAACUGUUGCUACUUUAAUAAAUAAUAAGAAUUGCUUCUAAAACUCUCUUUUCACCUCUGGCCACGUCUUCUCAUUAUUCUUCUCCUCAAUUCGUCUCUUCUAAAUUGCUAUCUCAAAGCAGUAGCCUAACAUCUGGUAUCAGAGCAGUUUUUUCUUGGGCAUAAUGACUGUUAAGGAACUGGAAGAAAGGGUGGAGCAAUUAUCUCAUCAAUUCAAUGAGAAGGUUGAGGUCUUAUCCCAACAGUCCAACGACCUCCAAGAAUUAAUCUUAAGUCUCCGCGAUCAGUUCAUCCGGUUUCAAGAAAAUAGAAACAACAACCAACCGUUACAAAAUAAUAAUCAACAACCCGAACCUGUAGGCCGUAUUGGAGGAGCACUUGUGCAACCCCGCCAUAUACGGCUGGAUUUUCCAGUUUUCAGCGGGGAAAAUCCGACAAGCUGGAUCUUUCGCUGUGAACAGUAUCAGCGAUUGGCUGCCUUGCCUGAGACAGAUGUGCUGUCCCUUGCUAUCGGACACCUCGAUGGAGAUGCGGUACCUUGGUAUCACUGGUUAGAGCAAACUAUGGGUAAUAUGACUUGGGCCCAAUUCAAACUAGCUCUAGUUACUCGAUUUGGAACAUUCGAAGACGGUGAUGCAGUCGGGUCCAUUACCAAACUACGACAGACUGGGACUGUUAUUGAAUAUCAACGCCAAUUUGAACGAUUGGCUGAUAGAACUCGAAAUCUACCAGAAUCAUUCUUCAUUAGUUGCUUCCUUUCGGGAUUACGAGAGGAUAUUAAAAUUGGAGUGCAGAUGUUGAAACUUGCAAGUCUCCUACAAACUUUUGAGCCUGCAAGAUUCCAAGAAGAAUACGUGGCUAUUUCUAAUCGAAGGAUUCCACCUCGGCCCAGUAUGAGCUGGCCAUCGCCACCACUCCUUAAUUCAUCUCCCACAAUAACCAAAACUGGGGGGUCAUCACAGCCCUCUUUAUUAGGCCCACCCCCUUCGGGAUCCCCACCAUUUCGGCGUCUAUCAGUUGCCGAACAAACUGAAAGACGAGCCAAAGGAUUGUGUUUCAAUUGUGAUGAACAAUUUAAACCUAGGCAUCGUUGUAAAGCUCCUCAACUUUUAUUACUGGAUGCAGAUAUUGACGAUAAAGAUGAACAAGCUGAGGCUUUCGAGGAAUUCCCAGAAACAGUAGAAGUCUCUUUAAAGGCUCUCACUGGAGCAACCCCACAAAACACCAUGCGACUGAAAGGGACUUUAAAAAAACACAGUGUCACUAUAUUAAUAGACUCUGGUUCUACUCACAAUUUUUUGAAUCCAUCUUUGGCUAAGCAAUGUGGGUGCCCUGUCACUAUUACAACUCAGUUUCAAGUUACUGUAGCUGAUGGUGGAGUGAUCAGCAGCUCGGGAAAAUGUUCUCAUGUCCCAGUAAAUAUUCAAGGCUUCCAAUUUCACUUGGAUUUUUUCUUACUUCCAGUAAGUGGCUGUGACAUUGUGUUGGGUGCUGAGUGGUUACGUUCAUUGGGUGCUAUAUUGUGGGACUUCUCAAAGCUAACUAUGCAGUUCACUUGGAAAGGCCAAACUGUUCAACUCACUGGAUAUGAUUCCCUGCCACCGGCUUUGGCAAAUCAUGGUGAAAUUAAUAGGUUAUUGCUUCAAGAAAAAUAAGGUAUUUUUUUCCAGAUUAUGGCAAUAACCACUUCAGUAGCAGAUAUAUCAGCACCUUCAAUUAUUACCAAGGUCCUAGAGACAUAUUCUAGCAUCUUUGCGGAACCCACCGAACUUCCUCCUGAACGCUUAAUUGAUCACCGUAUUCCAUUACUUCCUGGAAGCUCUCCUGUCAAUGUACGACCUUAUCGUUAUCCUCAUUUUCAGAAACAAGAAAUUGACCGCUUGAUUCGUGAGCUUUUGGAUGCCGGGCUCAUUCGACAUAGUGUUAGUCCUUAUUCCUCUCCGGUUUUAUUAGUUAAAAAGAAAGAUGGUUCUUGGCGUAUGUGUAUCGAUUAUCGUGCUCUUAACAAGGUAACCAUCCAAGACCGUUAUCCGAUUCCGGUUGUUGACGAGCUAUUAGAUGAAUUACAUGGUGCAUCAGUUUUCAGUAAACUGGACCUUCGCUCGGGCUAUCACCAGAUUCGAGUUCAUCCCUCCGAUAUAGCAAAAACAGCCUUUCGUACUCAUGAUGGCCACUACGAAUUUCUUGUGAUGCCCUUUGGCCUUUCAAAUGCGCCAGCUACAUUUUAGAACCUGAUGAAUGAGAUUUUUCGACCCUUCCUUCGCAAAUUUGUUUUAGUUUUCUUUGAUGAUAUCCUUGUCUACAGCACUUCUGUACAGGAGCAUGCUCGACACCUCUCCGCUGUCCUUCAAUGUUUGCAACAAAAUCGACUUUAUGUCAAGCUUACAAAAUGUUCUUUUUCUCAGUCAUUUGUUGAAUAUUUGGGUCAUAUUGUGUCUGCUACUGGAGUUGCUGUCAAUCCUGAAAAGGUUCAAUGCAUGCUUGAAUGGCCUAAACCUACCACUAUCAAAACUUUACGAGGCUUCCUUGGCUUGACGGGAUACUACCGUAAAUUUGUUGCUGGGUAUGGAAAAAUUGCUGCUCCCUUAACUGACAUGCUUAAACAAGAUUCUUUUACUUGGAGUCCUACUGCUGAAGCAGCAUUUGAUGAGCUACGCCAAGCCAUGGCUUCCACUCCCGUUUUAGCCUUGCCGAAUUUCACCAAACCAUUUUCUAUAGAAUGCGAUGCUUCCGGCCGGGGAAUUGGAGCAGUCCUCAUCCAAGAGGGCCGUCCACUCGCUUAUAUUAGCAAAGCCUUAUCUGGAAAAAACUUAGCCAUGUCCACAUACGACAAAGAAAUGCUUGCUAUUGUCUUUGUCGUGCAAAAAUGGCGUCCGUAUCUAUGGGACAGCAUUUCAAAAUUCUUACGGACCAUCGCAGCCUUAAGUACUUCCAUGAUCAGCGCAUUUCCUCUCCGGAACAGCAGCUGUGGUUGUUUAAACUCUUAGGAUUUGAUUAUGAAAUUAUUUACGGGAAGGGAGCUGAAAAUUCAGUUGCGGAUGCUUUGUCCCGUCGCUUCGAAGACUCCCAUUUCCAUGCCAUUUCUUCCCCAAUAUUUUCUCAUCUUACUGACAUCAAGCAAGAGUACAAAGCCGACCCAGCCCUGUCACUUCUUAUCGACCGUCUUCAGUCAUCCCAAUCCGUUCUUAAUUAUUCCUAUGAUGGCUCCAUUUUACGAUACAAGGGUCGGAUUGUUCUUCCUUCUUCUUCCGUUAAGUGCCAGCACAUUUUACACGAAUUUCACGCCUCUCCAAUUGGCGGUCAUUCGGGAUUCUUACGCACUUACAAAAGACUCAAAGCUAGUUUCUACUGGAAAGGGUUAAAAAGGGCUACUAAAUUAUUUGUUGCUGAAUGUGAUGUCUGUCAACGAAACAAGGCUGAAACUGUGCAUCCUUCCGGGUUGCUUCAACCUUUGCCCAUCCCUGAUAAAAUUUGGGAAGAUAUCUCCAUGGAUUUUAUUGAUGGUCUUCCAACUUCUAAGGGUAAAACAUCUAUUUUUGUUGUGGUAGAUCGUUUGUCCAAGUACGCUCAUUUUAGUGCCUUAUCCCAUCCUUAUACAGCCGCUCUUCUCGCUAAAAUUUUUGUGCGCGAUGUUGCUAAAUUGCACAGAAUGCCUCGCACCAUUGUCAGCGACCGUGAUCCUAUCUUUCUUAGUCAAUUUUGGGAGGAAUUCUUUCAAUUACAAGGCAGUUCUUUAUGCCGCAGCUCUGCUUAUCAUCCUCAAACGGAUGGCCAAACCGAAGUCGUUAAUCGCUCCUUGGAAGGAUAUUUGAGGUGUUUUGCUGGUCACCAGCCUUCUACAUGGACUAACUGGUUACCUUGGGCUGAAUGGUGGUAUAAUACUACAUUCCAUUCUGCUAUCCAACUGACUCCCUUUGAAGCAGUCUAUGGUUGGCCCCCCCUCGCAUCGAAUCUUAUUUGCCUGGCACAACUAAUGUUCAUACUGUUGACUUGGCUCUCCGCGAUAGGGAUUUGAUUCUCCUUAUGUUGUUGCUUGGGAAUGGCAGCCCUUUGCCAUUUUGGAUCGUGGAAUUUUCAAACGCAACAAUCGCCCUGUUACUAAGCUCCUUGUUCAGUGGCAAGGUCAGUCUAAAGAAGAGGCUACUUGGGAGGAAUGUUCUGAGUUUGCGGCCCGUUUUCCUUCUUUCCAGCUUGCGGACAAGCUGCCUUCUUAGGGGGAGGGGAUGUUAGAAUCCUAGUCUUAGAUCUGCAUUAUUUCCUUUUCUGUUAAGGAUUAGUUAUUAAGUUAUUAUGUUAUUAGGAAUUAUUAUUUUCGUAGGAUCUCUUUGGCUUAUAUAAGGAACUGUUGCUACUUUAAUAAGUAAUAAGAAUUGCUUCUAAAACUCUCUUUUCCCCUCUGGCCACUUCUUCUCAUUAUUCUUCUCCUCAAUUCGUCUCUCCUAAAUUGCUAUCUCAAAGCAGUAGCCUAACAAAGUAGCUCGUAUCCGGUCAUUCAGGGCAUGCAGUAAUCUCUGACUAUCAAAUCCAACUCUAAAACCUGAAUCCAGUGCACAAUUGAUUAGAAUUGAGCUCGAAUUUUAAUUAAAAAAUACAGAAAAUUGAGCCUAAUGUUUGAAC
rnacentral:lncRNA from 1 species